rnacentral:tRNA from 1 species
GGGCCUGUAGCUCAAUUGGCUAGAGCACCCGUUUUGCAUACGGGAGGUUACCGGUUCAAGCCCGGUCAGGUCCACCA